AACGAACGCUGGCGGCAUGCCUAACACAUGCAAGUCGAACGAGACCUUCGGGUCUAGUGGCGCACGGGUGCGUAACGCGUGGGAACCUGCCCUUAGGUUCGGUAUAACUCCCCGAAAGGGGUGCUAAUACCGGAUAAUGUCUUCGGACCAAAGAUUUAUCGCCUUUGGAUGGGCCCGCGCUGGAUUAGCUAGUUGGUAGGGUAAAAGCCUACCAAGGCGACGAUCCAUAGCUGGUCUGAGAGGAUGAUCAGCCACACUGGGACUGAGACACGGCCCAGACUCCUACGGGAGGCAGCAGUGGGGAAUAUUGGACAAUGGGCGAAAGCCUGAUCCAGCAAUGCCGCGUGAGUGAUGAAGGCCUUAGGGUUGUAAAGCUCUUUUACCCGGGAUGAUAAUGACAGUACCGGGAGAAUAAGCGCCGGCUAACUCCGUG
rnacentral:rRNA from 1 species